UGAAACCGGAAGCAGAAGCUGAGUGUGGUGU
rnacentral:piRNA from 2 species